rnacentral:rRNA from 1 species
UACGAGGGGGGGCAAGCGUUGUUCGGAAUUAUUGGGCGUAAAGGGUGCGUAGGCGGUCUGACAAGUCUGAUGUGAAAAUCUAUGGGCUCAACCCAUAGUCUGCAUCGGAAACUGUCGGGCUGGAGUAUGGGAGAGGUGAGUGGAAUUUCCGGUGUAGCGGUGAAAUGCGUAGAUAUCGGAAGGAACACCUGUGGCGAAAGCGGCUCACUGGACCAUUACUGACGCUGAUGCACGAAAGCUAGGGGAGCAAACAGG